AAUAAGCGUAAUCAUGAGAUUUCGUGUCCAACUUAUUUAAAUUUUUUUCUAAUUAGUAUUUUAAUUAUUAUUUUUUUGACUGGAAGUAUUUUAAUUAUUAUUAGAUUAUAAAAUAUGAAUAGUAUUUUAUGCGAGACUUAUGUUUUUUUUAUUUUUUUUAAAAAAAAUUAAAUAAGACGGACAAUUAAAGUUGGAGAUAGAAACUUAUUGCUGUGCUUAUU
rnacentral:pre_miRNA from 1 species